AGUAAACAAAAACUGUUUAUGAACAACUAAUUAUUAAUGUGUAAUUUUUUAAAGCGAUGACAAUGAAAUUUUAUUUGAUUAUAAAUUUGUUUGCUUUUAUCACAACAAGCUUGUCCAAAUUAAAUGUUCCACGAGUUCUUUUGCCACUUUUUAAAGAGCUUCCGAUUACCUUCACUUUGGAAUCUACCGACGGAGAUUGUUAUCGAUGGUGGGUUGCAGAAGAAGACAUAGUAGUUAUUGAACCUUUCGAUUUCGUCAAAGAAUUACAAUGUUGGAGAAAAGCUAUUGUGAAAACGUCACCAAAUUGCGCAACUAGAAGUGUAGCUGCCGUUUUGGCCGAAGAUAUCCGUUCUAAGCAAGUGGUUCGAUGUGAUGUUAUUGUAGAUACAAUAAGUUCUCUGUCUAUCUCAACUACAACGAAGGAGCUUCUUUUAGAGGAUGCACCUGAAGCGUUUGAAGUCAGAGCUUCUGAUAGUCAAGGAAAUUGUUUUACAACUUUGGAAGGAAUUCUCUUUGAGUGGACGGUUACUUGUUUGGGUUCGAAUAAAGAGGAAAUACUAUUGAGAUUUAUUAAAUUUAAAGAUUCGCCAUAUAAAACAACUCCUUCAAUCACAAAAAUGGAGGAGCAGAAUCAUAGAGGAUGUAUAGUACUAAUGGAAGGAAUAAAAACUGGAUCUGCUAAAGCAUUCGCCAAGUUACCUUAUAAGGAGUACAGUCAUAUAAAAUCAGCCGAAGUAACACUAACUGUGAGUGCUAAUUUAAUUAUAGUUCCUUCUCAGGUGCACUCAAUGGUUGGUGAUGAAAUCACUUUUACAAUACUGCAGUUAAAACGGGGAAAUAAAGAGCAGAUAUCUUUGCCACAUACACAAUACCAUUUGAAAGUGGAGUCGGAAGAUUUAGCAACCGCAAUAGGGGGAGGUACCAUUCUUACAUUACGUAAAGGAACAACUAAAGUUGUAUUAUAUGAUAGAAAUGUAAAUAUGGAUGAUUCAAAUGUAAAAUUACCAUCAGCUGAGUUAAAUGUCAUUGAACCACACAAGAUACUCAUUACGACAUUUCCGCAUAGAAGUUCGGCGGUUUUAAUUUCUGAAAAUGUUGAUAUAGCGAUGGAAGUAUAUUCUAGGGAUAAUUAUUUAAUUCAUUUGGGACCAAAUGUGCAUGCCGUCUUAAAAGUGAACCAAAUAUUUCACGUUCAUGAAAUAACUGCGAAUGGAACUUGGUUGACGGGGUGGCCAAUCAAAGAAGGUAGAAGUCAAAUCCAUGCUCAUUUUAAAGGUACUGAAGGAGCUAAAGUUAAAAUCGAUUCUACCGCUGAUUUAGAAGUGUACCCGAGAAUAAUUUUGACUCCUUCUGAAGUUGUUUUUCCAUGGGAUCCGGAAACUCGACCCACCUCUGUAAUGCAAUUAAAGGCUAGCGGAGGUGACGGACUUUUCCUAUGGAGCAGCAGUAACCACACAGUUGGAAUGGUAUCUCAAACGGGUCUUGUUAGAAUACACAAUUACGGUUAUUUUGAAGUAUCCGUUUCUAUGCAACGAAAUCACUAUAAUAGACAAUAUACAAAAUUUCAUGUUGUUUUUCCAUCUCGUCUUGAAAUUACCGAUUUCAUCAUGGAAACGGAAAUAGGUGCGUCAGUUUACCUUCAUGUGGCUUUGUACGCGGAUCUACUGUCAUCAAGCGAAGAUGGUACUUAUUCCCAAGUGCCUAUUUCUCAUUGUCAAGACGUAAACUUCGACGUUGAAGUGUCCAACGAUAACUUUAUCUACAAUCGUUCCGACGUUAUACAGCCGGUGGGAAUAUCGUGUGCUAAUGUAGCUCUAGUUGGUUUAAAAAGUGGCUCUAGUAAGAUCGUCGUUUCCUGUAUAAUAGGCGGACGCAAACUAGAAGAUAACGUCACACUCAUUGCUUUUAAUCCGCUAUCGCUAGUUUACCCAAAAUGUGAAAUUGUAUUGGCUCUUGGAUGUUUUACUGAAUUGGUAUUCUCCGGUGGUCCGUCGAUAUUAAAAACUCGUUCAGAUUACAAACGUGAAGUGUCGGUAACGAAUAUUGAUGUAAUAAAGGCUGUAGAUAAAACUAAUGCCAUUGAUAAAUUUAUUAUUGAAGUUACGUGCCGAAAACUUGGAGAAGCUAAUGUUACCUUCACAAUGGGUAAUAUGCCUACACUUCCUCAUUGUAAAUAUCGUGCAUAUUCCAAAACUGUCACGAUUGUUUGUGGGCAACCGGAAAAAAUUCAACUUCGGCCAGCUUUACAAGAUGAAGAUAGUAACCGUUGUCCUCUGAAUGUUGAUGAAAAUCGGGUAAUAGCAUACAGUGGCAAAGAUAUUCACGUGGACGUGAAUGUUUUUGAUGCUCAAGGUAGAAUUUUUUUGGACGCUUCCAGUUUACUCUUUCGCUGGGACAUACGACCUAAAGAUAUGGCCAAAAUUCACAACCAGAAUGGCAUUUACAAGAAUGAUCAAACCAAAACAGGAUUAAAUUAUUUGGAUAAUAACUACCAACUCAUUACGCCAUUAAAAAAAAAUGGAGAAAUGCAUCUGAUUGCCCAUGCCGUCGGUUAUAAAAAAGAGGUGUUACGUAAAAGUAAAGCUACCUGCAUCAAUUGCGAUUCUAAUAACAGAAAGGUAGUGGGGGAGUUUUUAAAAAAAGCUGCUGCUCAGUUACUGUUAGUUGACCAUGCCGUUGUCACUCCAAGCGAAAUAAACAUCUGUAAUAAUGCUAUGAAUAAGAAAGUUAUAUCAGUAAUAGGUGGUUCCGGUUAUUUCGAAUUCAAAUUGAGUGCAAAGGACGUCGCAUUGAUAAAAUACAAUAGCGUAACUCGAGAAAUCGAAGUGACUCCUAAGAACGAUGGAAACACUGAGAUAAUGGUAACAGAUCUUUGUUUGCCUUCGCAAUCGCCCAUCGUAAACGUUAGAGUUGUCUCCAUAGCCAUCAUAAGGGUUGAUAUGUCAGAAAAGGUACAGAUUGGCAGAUGCAUUCCGUGUACGGUUAGAUUUUAUGACGAGACGGAUAACUUGCUCUCCCUUAAUGAUACAGCAGCGAUUAAUAUUGCGAUUAAUUUGAGCAGGGAUAUCGUAAAAGUAAAACGACUAGUAAUAAAAAAUCAAGGAAACGCCCGAAAUUCUGGAGAAGCACAUUUUAUCGUUACAGGUUUAGAACUCGGAUCGGCGAAUUUAGCAUUUUCCAUUAAAAGUGGAGCAAAAGAUAUAAAAAGUGCGCCAAUUGAAUUAAUGGUAUUUCCGCCUCUUAGAAUAUCACCCAGAAACGCCACCCUUCUUAUAGGUUCCACAUUUCAGUUUACCUCUAACGGUGGGCCUUUUCCUGAUUGUACUAUCGAAUAUAAAAUCGAUAAACCUCAGAUCGCUUAUGUAAACGAAUUUGGAGUGGCAAAAGGAUUAAAAUAUGGUAUUGCUUCUGUUAGUGCAAGAGCAAUCGGAAUAAACCCGUCCACCCGCCAAAAGGUUGUAUAUUCUGAGGAUAAAAUAAUGGUUGAAAUAAUAUCAUUAACUGGAUUGAAAAUAGCUGCUCCACUAACUCGUUUUAUAUGUGGUUCGACGGUCCCUGUGUGGAUCACGGGAGUGCCAGAGAAAAUUUCUGCAUCAAUAUUGGCCAACGUAGAGCCGUCGAUUCGUUUCGAGUGGGCCGUCGAUGAUUCCGAUAUUGUAAAAAUUGUCGGAAUAUUCGAACAUCUCGGAAUUGUAUACGGACAAGAAGAUAAUAUUGCUGUAAGACUGAAAGGUCUAAAAGCGGGAAAAACAAUUUUGCGAUUGACUGCAGUUGUGAGUGGGUCGGUUUUAAAUAAAUCAAAACAACAGAGCGUCACGCUGAAGACGCACCUGCAUAUUGAUGUGUUUGAAAAGUUAAGUUUAAAUAUACCAAACGAUGUUAACGGAAAAGAAAUAUUAAUGGCUCCUUUCUCGUCCAUUUUACUUCACACUAAUAUGGACGAUAUACUCAAUAUUAAAUACAGCGUGUCGAAUGGUAGAGACCCUCUCACGGAAACUACAGAUAAAUUAGACGGUGCAUCUAAAACCAUUAUAAAGGUGUCAUCUAGUGGAGUAAUAGAAUCAUUUGGGAAUACUGGAAUAGCCAUGGUCGUCAUUGAAGCAACUGAUCAAGAAUAUUUAACACAGCAGAUGACUUUAGUAGUAGAGGUGAAAUCUAUUCAUUACAUGAUGCUUAAGGCAGAUGCGAAAUGGAAAGUGAAACAUAGCAAAAUGUUAAGCAGUAUACCGUUAGGAUCUGAAUUUAUAUUACGGACGCAUUAUUAUGACAGCACAGGUUCUAAAUUCACCUGUGGAAAUUUACAACUCCAUGUUCGUAAUUCUAGACUAGAUUUCGUAAAAGUAUCACCGACCUGCUGUAACGAUUCUAUGUUAGUUUCGACAAGAAGAAAGGGAAAUUCGGUUGUUAAGGUUUGGGGCGAAGGGUACCGAAGAACCGCCGACUAUAUUAAAUUGAACGUUAAACAAGCAAUAACACCGACACUGGACACGUUAACUAUUGGCGACAUUGUCUGUCUUCAGACUCCUUUAGAACCAAAUAAAGGCGAUGCAGUGGCGAGAUGGAGUGUCAGUAACAAAUGUUUACAACUUUUAGACAAUAGUAAGGGUAUAAUACGCGUGGUGACCGCUGCUGCCACGGAAGUUUAUUUAACACACGAUUUACAUCAAGGAUCUCCCAUUAAAAUAGCGAUUGAACCACCUAACACAAUUCGUACAUUAGAAGAUACAAAAAAACAUGUUACCAACACACCCCUACGAAAGCCAUAUAGUAUUCCUUUAUUAUUUGGCAUUGUAAAUCAGCCUGAACGAAUUAAAAACACACACGAUUUGCUCUUUUGUUACAGUUUAUGGGCUGGGACUGUAGAAACGAUCUCGUACCCUUACUCACAACUUAUCCGCAUAAGUGUUAUCUAAAAUUUACAAACGAAAACAUUACUGAAAGCGUAUACAAUGUAUUGAAAACUCAUCCUAGCUUCGAUUCAGAUUCAGGUCAAUAUUUGUGUACUAUAAUACCUUCAACGUUAAAUACUGAAGAAAUAAGCAUACUCGCCACUAAUUUAAUUGUUUGGGUAGAGGUGCCCG
rnacentral:misc_RNA from 1 species